CAUUUCCUACGUUCUUGUUCAAUCAUAACCACCUCUCCCAAACCCAAUCCCUCCCCUUUUCUUGUUAUUCUUUGUUUAUGCAUUCUUUUUGGAUUUAUUAUGAUUUCUUUUAACUUUUUUUACGUUUGAUUUCUUGUUUUUGUUUCUGGAUGUUCUUCUCUACCCUACGUCUUGGACUUCCAUUUGUUUCAAGUUAUGUUGGACACGUUGGAGCCGUGGAAGAUAUGAUUCAAGGAGCGAAUUACGCAUUGGCUAGUGCUGGGAGUUAUCUUCACUAGUGGAUCCGAAUCGGACAACACAUCUCCUUUACACAACAAAUUCAACAAUUUGUUUUACGUAUGAGCGAGAAGGUUGCUGCCGAUCACAUUUCCAAUUCAAUCUUUUACAUAUCAAUUGGAAUCAACGAUCACAUUUCCAAUUACAUUUAAAUAUUCAAAAUCUUUACCUUCCGUGAAAUUUUAACCAAUUCUUGCAGCCACAAUCAUACAGAAAACCAAGGUGAUUUUAUUGUAUAUAGUUCUUUACUACAUAAUAGAAAAAAAGUAUAUACAUACAUUACCCAUUAUGUCAUCUCUUUGCCCUUCAUGAUAUUGUUGUUGUGCACACAUUUUCAUUUUCCAAAGUUUAAUCUUUUAGAUUAUUUUCGAUAUUGGAAACUAACCAUGCAUUGUAAGCCCGACAUAGAAGUUUCCUUUAUUUCCCCUAUGUUAAUUAAUUUACCAAUUGUCCAAGAACUUCCUAAAAGACUUUGUGUUGAUGGUCCAGAAUUUGUAUAACAUAAAUGCUAGGAGAAUCGUUGUAAUGGGAUUGGCACUUAUUGGUUGUGCUCCUUUCUACUUAUGGAAGUAUUGUAGUGAGAAUGGAGCGUGUAUUGAGAAGAUAAAUGAUAUGGUUAUGGAGUUCAACUUUGCCAUGA